GACGAACGCUGGCGGCGUGCUUAACACAUGCAAGUCGAACGGUAAGGCCCUUCGGGGUACACGAGUGGCGAACGGGUGAGUAACACGUGGGUGAUCUGCCCUGCACUUCGGGAUAAGCCUGGGAAACUGGGUCUAAUACCGGAUAGGACCACUGCCUGCAUGGGUGGUGGUGGAAAGCUUUUGCGGUGUGGGAUGGGCCCGCGGCCUAUCAGCUUGUUGGUGGGGUGAUGGCCUACCAAGGCGACGACGGGUAGCAGGCCUGAGAGGGUGACCGUCCACACUGGGACUGGGAUACGGCCCAGACUCCUACGGGAGGGAGCAGUGGGGCAUAUUGCACAAUGGGCGCAAGCCUGAUGCAGCGACGCCGCGUGACGGAUGACGGCAUUCGGGUUGUAAACCUCUUUCAGCACCGACGAAGCGCAAGUGACGGUAGGUGCAGAAGAAGGACCGGCCAACUACGUGCCAGCCGCCGCGGUAA
rnacentral:rRNA from 1 species